rnacentral:tRNA from 1 species
GGUUCAUUAGCUCAGAUUGUAGAGCACCUGACUUUUAAUCAGGGUGUCCCGGGUUCGAGUCCCGGAUGAGCCACCA